rnacentral:tRNA from 1 species
GGCCACGUGGCGAAGUUGGUUAACNNGUGGCGAAGUGGCUAACGCGGCGGUCUGCAAAACCGUUAUGCGCCGGUUCAAAUCCGGCCGUGGCCUCCA